rnacentral:rRNA from 1 species
GACAGAGGGUGCAAACGUUGUUCGGAAUUACUGGGCGGUAAAGACGUGCGCAGGCGGUUUUGUAAGUCUGACGUGAAAUCCCCGGGCUCAACCUGGGAAUUGCGUUUGGAGACUGCAAAGGCUGGGAGUCUGGCAGAGGGGGGUAGAAUUCCACGUGUAGCAGUGAAAAUGCGUAGAGAUGUGGAGGAACACCAGUGGCGAAGGCGGCUCUUUGGUGCUGUAACUGACGCUGAGG